GACGAACGCUGGCGGCGUGCUUAACACAUGCCAGUCGAACGGAAAGGCCCUGCUUUUGUGGGGUGCUCGAGUGGCGAACGGGUGAGUAACACGUGAGUAACCUGCCCUUGACUUUGGGAUAACUUCAGGAAACUGGGGCUAAUACCGGAUAGGAGCUCCUGCUGCAUGGUGGGGGUUGGAAAGUUUCGGCGGUUGGGGAUGGACUCGCGGCUUACCAGCUUGUUGGUGGGGUAGUGGCUUACCAAGGCUUUGACGGGUAGCCGGCCUGAGAGGGUGACCGGCCACAUUGGGACUGAGAUACGGCGCAGAAUGCUACGGGAGGCAGCAGUGGGGAAUAUUGCACAAUGGGCGGAAGCGUGAUGCAGCAACGCCGCGUGCGGGAUGACGGCCUUCGGGUUGUAAACCGCUUUCGACUGUGACGAAGCGUGAGUGACGGUAAUGGGUCAAGAAGCACCGGCUAACUACGUG
rnacentral:rRNA from 1 species